rnacentral:rRNA from 1 species
AACGAACGCUGGCGGCAUGCCUAACACAUGCAAGUCGAACGAGACCUUCGGGUCUAGUGGCGCACGGGUGCGUAACGCGUGGGAAUCUACCCUCAGGUUCGGAAUAACUCAGAGAAAUUUGAGCUAAUACCGGAUGAUGACGUAAGUCCAAAGAUUUAUCGCCUGAGGAUGAGCCCGCGUAGGAUUAGGUAGUUGGUGAGGUAAAGGCUCACCAAGCCGAGGAUCCUUAGCUGGUCUGAGAGGAUGAUCAGCCACACUGGGACUGAGACACGGCCCAGACUCCUACGGGAGGCAGCAGUGGGGAAUAUUGGACAAUGGGCGAAAGCCUGAUCCAGCAAUGCCGCGUGAGUGAUGAAGGCCUUAGGGUUGUAAAGCUCUUUUACCCGGGAUGAUAAUGACAGUACCGGGAGAAUAAGCACCGGCUAACUCCGUG